rnacentral:lncRNA from 1 species
UUCUCCAGCAUCGAAAUUUAAACAUAAAAUCCCGACUUUGAAGUUCAUUUCUAGCAAAGUCUUUAGCCCGGAUCCUACUAUAUUUUGUUUCAUGUCAAAUAUUUUUCUAACUAUGGAGGGAGCUAGCAUACUUAACAGCCGUAGGAGAAGUUCCGACAUGUAUUUAUUUUUAACGUUGUUGCUGAUUAUGCAUCAGCUGAUUUUCUCACAAUGUGCCAUUAAUGAUAUUUCUUUCUCGGAUCAUAGGCUUAGGAAUCCAAGUGUGCCCUCGACCUCGCCACCUUCCGCCGGCAGUCGUGGGCCGCGGCCGCCGCCACCGCCUUCUGAAAUAAAAAAUCGUUCAGUAUUUCCACAGUCGGAUCCACCACCUAAGCCAGCUGCACCAUCUUGUAAACCCACUUGUAAAUAGUCUCUCUAGCUAUGUCAAACGUUACUACGAAUUUCUUAUUCGUUGUUUUUCUUGAUAAUUCUGUAACAUGAUUCGUUAUAGUUUUAUGGUAUUAUAUGAAAAGUUUUAAUUAUAUGCCAAUUUUCGC